rnacentral:rRNA from 1 species
CCUACGGGGGGCAGCAGUGGGGAAUAUUGGACAAUGGGGGGAACCCUGAUCCAGCGACGCCGCGUGAGUGAAGAAGUAUUUCGGUAUGUAAAGCUCUAUCAGCAGGGAAGAAAGAAAUGACGGUACCUGACUAAGAAGCCCCGGCUAACUACGGGCCAGCAGCCGCGGGAAUACGUAGGGGGCAAGCGUUAUCCGGAUUUACUGGGUGUAAAGGGAGCGUAGACGGCGAUGCAAGUCUGAAGUGAAAGCCCGGGGCCCAACCCCGGGACUGCUCUUGGAACUGCGUGGCUGGAGUGCAGGAGGGGCAGGCGGAAUUCCUGGUGUAGCGGUGAAAUGCGUAGAUAUCAGGAGGAACACCGGUGGCGAAGGCGGCCUGCUGGACUGCAACUGACGUUGAGGCCCGAAAGCGUGGGGAGCAAACAGGAUUAGAUACCCGAGUAGUC